rnacentral:rRNA from 1 species
UACGAAGGGGGCUAGCGUUGUUCGGAAUUACUGGGCGUAAAGCGCGCGCAGGCGGUCUUCCAAGUCCGAGGUGAAAGCCCAGGGCUCAACCUUGGAACUGCCUUUGAAACUAGGUAGCUAGAAUUCUGGAGAGGUCAGUGGAAUUCCGAGUGUAGAGGUGAAAUUCGUAGAUAUUCGGAAGAACACCAGUGGCGAAGGCGACUGACUGGACAGAUAUUGACGCUGAGGUGCGAAAGCGUGGGGAGCAAACAGG